GGAGUUACUAUAGAGCGCCACCCUCUCGCCAAGUUAAUGUCCAAAAGCGGAAGUCGUGUCACAUACCUUUCUAUUUCCCCUGAAAACCGGAACAUCCGGUUGUUAGGGACUCAGCAGAGGCUAGGGCGGAGUAAACGCUCUCGCUUUGCCUCUUCCGCUAUACUUUCAAGAGAGGCCAACACAGACCGAAGGAGAGUUACCACGUUUUGUGGUGUUGUCAAUAUUCAGACAUGUUCCACAUCUCCUCACUGGCUCCCCUCCAGGGCAAACUGACGGUGAUCUGCUAAUGUUUACAAGGUACUGAGAAACUCUUUAACCUUGAUGAAAAGCACAUAACAAGCUGUUAGCACAUCAUGAAUAAUGAUAGUAAUGUGAGUGUAAUUCGUUCUUCGGGUCAGUGCAAGAGUUUGAUGUGGAUACAAUGUGGAGCAAUGCUUGGAUGUGCGAAAGGAUGACAGUACUGCAACUGGACAGGAAGUAAAAGAUUAAUUCACAUCAAUAACCACAUUUCCACCAAGUUUUUAUUUGAGUAAAGUCAUACCUUGUUAAAAAAAUGUGUUCCAUGGUAGAAUCUUUUUGUGUCUGUAAAAUUAAUUAUGUGCCAAAUGGCUGUGAAAAUGCAGAUAUUGAUAUAAUAACCAUCAUAUGGAAGUAAACUUAGUGUCACGUGAUGAUAUGGUGUGUGGUCCUCCUACUACAACUCCGGAAACCAUGCAGUUUAUUAGGAUACAGAUUAAAUUAUGAUGAACUUCACAGGGUGGUGAAAGUGCACGGUGAUGAACUUGAUGCUGCUUUACAAUAAGUAUCUAGGGUCUUAUUCUGGUGACAUGAUGAUCGAUGCUUGACUGCCUUUUGACCAAUACAAAUAUUCUCGCUCUUUAUCCAUAAUAAUCUAAUCAUGUAGACUAGCCUACUGUACCAGCACAGCCUACCUGCACUGUGUCUGUGAGCUGUUGGCUAGAGCGCACGUGCCAAGACCAGAAUAGGCACAUUUUCUAUUUAACUCAGCAGUUUUUGUGACAAAACUAUCUGUUGAAUUGAACUUUAGAUUUGUAUUCGAUACAUGAAAAUUUAAGCAAAAAAUUACAUUUUGUGCACUGUCAUCACUUACCCAUUUUUAUCUGUAGCAAGUCCAUUUGUCGCUUGGGCUCAAACUAGACAUACAAAUGCUCCUGUUGACUGGGCUUCCUUCAGAGCACUAUAAAACAAAUUUGCAGGAUUGACCAGGAAAUCCAAAUCCGAUUUCUAUCUAAAUGCAGUCACAGAGAACCUAAACAACCAUACCAAGUUCUGGAAGCUAAUCAAAUCAGUGUCAGGUUCUAAUGUCUCCUCUGGCCUUCCUGACCAUUUAUUAAUGGUGGAUUCUAGUGAAGUGAAGGAUAAAGCUGAUAUUGUAUGGGGUUUUUAACAAGCACUUCAUAUCUGCUGGCUCAAUUUUUGAUAAUGGUGGGUCCCAGGCCUCUAAUGUAAGCUCUGUUACAGUAAACUAAGAUAUAGGCCCUCAUGUGAACCAUUUUAACUUUGAGCCUGUUUCUUAUGCUGAUAGCAGCUGGUAUUAGUACUGAACCUGUGGCUCACAUUUUCAACUUGAGCCUCUUGACCAAUUCCCUACCCAGCAUUUGGAAAUCAGCUCAUGUCCUCCCACUGCUAAAGGGUGGAGAUCACUCAGAUGCUAAUAAUUAUUGUCCUAUCUCCAAACUCCCUAACCUGGCCAACGUCUAUGAAUCCCUAGUGAACUCAGUUAAAAAACUUCUUAAUUGAAAAGAACAUACUGAGCGGGGUUCAGUCUGGCUUUAGAUUGGGGCACAGUACCACAACUGCAGCUAUGGCAGUGACAAAUAACAUACUGAGCAGGGUUCAGUCUGGCUUUAGAUUGGGGCACAGUACCACAACUGCAGCUAUGGCAGUGGCAAAUGACAUCACUAAUGCACUUCAUAAAAAGCAGCAUUGUGCUGCUCUGUUUGUUGAUUUAUCAAAGGCAUUUGAUUCAGUUGACCAUGAAUUGUUGCUAGCUAAACUCAGUAACAUUGGUCUCAGUGAAGGGGCAGUAAAUUGGUUUAGGAACAAUCUUUCUGACAGAACACAAUGUGUAUAUACUGACAAUCACAAGUCUAGCUUUCUAGAGAUUAAUAGAGGUGUGCUCCAGGGUUCCAUUUUAUCUCCUGUGUUGUUUUUAUCAAUUUGUAUUAAUGAUUUGGGAAAUGAGAUGCAACCAGCAAAGUUGCAUCUAUAUGCAUAUGAUACAGUCAUAUAUUAAUGUGGUCCUUCUCUGGUUCUGUAAUGAACACAAUGGGAGACAGAGAGCUGGUUUCAAGCGCAGGGUGUUUAAUUGUAAAGGACAACAGAAGGAGGCAGGUAGCUGGGUCCAGGGGCAGGCAGAAGGUCAUACACAGGGGGUCCAAAAAGGCAACAGUAGAGGCAGGGAAAAGGCUAGUAACAUCGUCCGGGAGAUCAGGCAAUAGGUGAUUACAGGAAAUCCGAUAGGCUAAAGUACAGUACAAACAGAUCUACGUGUCUGGGAGUGCGAGUUGGAAGCAGGCGUUACAGGUUAAGGCUGUUGAAGAGCUCCAGUAAUGCUUUUCAGUCACUGCAGGCCUUCCUUUAUUGUCUACAACUGGUCUUGAAUGUACAAAACAUGUAUGACCUUUACCAGAGCUCGUACUCAGACAGAGAAGGUUAGCAUUUUCACAUCUUGUGGCUUAUCCAUUGAAAAAGUGUCAUCCUACAAAUACCUUUUAUAUGGUUGGAUGACAAGUUGUCCUUUAAAGUUCAUAUUGAUAAUCUUGUGGGGAAGCUUAAAUUGAAAUUGGGUUUUUACUUUCGUAAUAAGGCUUGCUUCCCGCUUAUGGCUAGAAAGAAGCUUGUUCAGGCCACUUUUCUCUCUGUAAUUAAUUAUGGUGACUUGUUGUAUAUGCAUGCAGACUCCUCUGUCUUACAGAGAUUGGACUCUGUUAAUCAUGCAUCCUUGAGCUUUAUUACAAAGGCCAAGUCACUCACCCACCAUUGCACCUUGUACCAAAUGUUUGGUUGGACCUCACUUUAUAUGCACAUAAAGGCACAUUUGUAAGUGUUCAUCUACAAAGCCCUUUUGGGUAAACUCCCUCUUUACCUAUGUAGUCUGGUCUCCUUCACCACCAGCAGUUACCAUACCCGGUCUGCUAGGUGGUUGCUACUUAAUAAGGCCCCCAGGUCAUUUACUGUAUUAGGCAAGACUGCCUUCUCAUAUUGUGCAACAGAGCCAAGGAAUAGUCUACAAUCCAUGCUGCAUCUAGAUAUGUUAGUGCCUCUGAAUGAAUUUACAUUUUUAAUGGGAGACUGUUACAGAGGAGUGUAAAUGCUUAUUGAGGCUGGAUCAUGUUGUUGAAUUGUAUUGUAUUGUUGUAUGUUUUAGUUCUGUAAUGUAUUGAUUGUUGCUGCCUUCUUGAAAAAUACUCUUGGUCUCAAUGGACUUUUUUCCUGGUUAAAUAAAGGUUAAAUAAAUCAAACAAAAUUUGUUAUAAUUCUACACCAAAAUGUAAAAUAUUUCUGAUUGAAUGUAAUAAUAUAGUUAAGACAUCCAUAGUUAAUAACAAAAAGAAUGACAUGUUCUUCAGUCAUUAUUAUGCCAUUUUUUUCUGAGUGAAUACAAUUGCCCUUUUUUUUCCUUAUUUUUAGUACAUAUGUAUUUCAAGUGUCUUCUUGUUUUUACCUGUGUGGUUUGUUUUGCGUUAGACAUGUUUGAUGUAGUGAUGUAAAUUGUUGAUUGCUGGUAAUUUGUAUUAAAAAAAGCAAGUCCACUUUGAGGAAAAAAAAACA